ACUCAGUUCCGCUAACUCAGGGUGGUUUAUUUACAGCGUAGUGGGUGAAUCAGUCACUUUUCUAUGGGCUUAAGAUGAGAAUAAAAACUGUACGGAAGAAGACAGACACAUCCACUUUUUUUCCUGAUGAUAUAGGAUGCCAAGAGGCUGGGAUUCCACCUCUUCCAAGCACAGGCAGCCACCAAGUGCCACCAGGCAGCAGAGGUUUUAACUCUGAGGCAGCUUGGAUGUUUUGUGGCAAGAGAAUGGGUACCAGGAACACAUCUUCUGCUGCACGACCACGUGCAGCUCCUUCAUCUCCAGCAUGCUGGGCAUCAGCCUUCCCAUCUAAGCCCAGGAGUCUGAGAAGUCACCAACCAAAGACAAGGUGAGCUGCUAAAACAGCCUGUACAAAGUCUUCUGCCCUCUCUCCCAUGGCCUCACAGCACCUGAUCCAGCACAUCCAGCAGGUAACUCAACAGCAUUGUCCUCACAUUAUUCCUUCCACGUUUUCUCUUUCCAGACCCGGAACGUGGGCAGGUAAACCUUUCUGUGUCUGCUCCAUCACCACAGCUCCCUUUCCCCACACUUCCACAUCGUUCUUCCCCAGGCUGGAUAUGGCAUGUCCUAACCAGCCCCUAGCAUUCCCAUGGGUGUGCAAGCCAGGCUCCCUUCCCUUCUGCUGGCCAGAGGUACAUUUGUACUUGCAAUUAGUCUUUUCCCAACCCUUUUGACAUAGGAUCAUGGGGCACAGUCUGGAUCAACAUGAGAACCUCGGAGAAACGUGCUGAUGUUGGUUUUUAAAGAGAAGAUAGUUUGUUCAUACUGAGAAAUGCCUCUCUGGGGACCUUUCUGGUACAUUCCAAAUGUCCAUGCUGCUCCCUUGAGAGAAGCUUUGGUCCUGUGUGUGUUCUUCUCUUCGCAUAACUAAGAGCACUUUGAGAUGGGUGGAAAGAGAACACUGUGCCAGCCACAGCCCCUCAACAGCCACUGACUCAUAAAUGUGCACUUUGACAAGCCCGUGAUUUGAUCUGCCCAUUCCAAACCCAUUAGCAACAUGUGGCCUUGGAAACACACACCUGGAUGGGACCCUGAGACAUCAUCUCAUACAUCCUUCUCCCUGAGGCAGGAGCAACUCUACCUACAGCAUUCCUGAGUGGUAUUCUGCCUAACCUGUUCUUAAAACCUCCAACUCCAGAGCUGGGGAGACUCUGGGCUUGUCUCUGUCCCAAAGCUCUUCCAGUAUUAUCACAUCCCACCAUUACGAAAUGUUCUUGGUGGCUCCUUUAUCUUCCUGUGAUGUACCAGGAAGUGACCUUCCUCCUGCAGAGAUUCUGGGUCACUGCAGGUUGGUUACACCAGGCCUGUUGCGUGGCAGAGCCCCAGGUCUCAGUGCUCGUGGCCCUGCUCCAAACCUACCGAUUAGCACAAGGGAAUUCCACUGCUGUUACAGUCCACAUCAGCUGCCUCCACAUGUCUGCCUGCGUUGGCACUCCCUGCCCCGGCUUCAAGGAGCAGCAAGCCCCAGCCAAAACACCUUCCUGGGUCUGCAGCAAGAGUUACGUUCAUCUCAGUGACUGGUGUAAGUCAUCAUCUGGCCUGGAUCCAUGUUUCAUACCUGUGUGAGGCCAGUGACAGAAAUCCAGAGCACCCAAAACUCAAGAGUUUUGGGCUAAGAUACCAUUCACACAAGAAGCAGAGGUGUUAUUUUCCCCACAGCGUGCAUGUGGUAGCAAAGAUCCCCCCAAAAAUGCAAGGACACUGCUGAAGCAACAACUGGAGUGUGACUGUAGAGCUGAUAGUCGAUCCUGAGCUGACCUGAUGCACAUGCCAAUGCCUCAGAUGGCUCUGCAGACAAGGCCCACCAGUUAGCAUGUGCUUUGCAUACUUUCAUCUUCACAUGGGUAUUAGCAUGGCUAUCACUUCCUGCCCUAAGAAGUCAUCUACUAUUGCUUUAUUCUAUUUGUAAAUAGGAUAAAAUUGGUGGCCAUGUUUCAUUCCACCCAUCGGAUGAAGUUAUUUCUGUAUUUGCCUAGGAGUAAAUCUACAGAGUGCCUGGAGCUCUCCGGCCACGUAGGACACAUCCCCUUCCACAGGGCCUGGAACCGCCUGCUUUUACAAGGGAACUUGUAAAACCCCAGUAGUGGAUGUUGGUGUAAUGACAAUUUAGCAUUUUUAGCACACUGACAUACCCAUGGAAGAGGUUUUUACUAGGCACAGAUGGUCCUGAAACAAAUUACAUGCAUUUUACAGCAACCAAAAUAAAACCAUGAUCAAUA